rnacentral:rRNA from 1 species
ACGAACGCUGGCGGCAGGCUUAACACAUGCAAGUCGAGCGCCUCGCAAGAGGAGCGGCAGACGGGUGAGUAACGCGUGGGAAUCUACCCAUCUCUACGGAACAACUCCGGGAAACUGGAGCUAAUACCGUAUACGUCCUUCGGGAGAAAGAUUUAUCGGAGAUGGAUGAGCCCGCGUUGGAUUAGCUAGUUGGUGGGGUAAUGGCCUACCAAGGCGACGAUCCAUAGCUGGUCUGAGAGGAUGAUCAGCCACAUUGGGACUGAGACACGGCCCAAACUCCUACGGGAGGCAGCAGUGGGGAAUAUUGGACAAUGGGCGAAAGCCUGAUCCAGCCAUGCCGCGUGAGUGAUGAAGGCCCUAGGGUUGUAAAGCUCUUUCAACGGUGAAGAUAAUGACGGUAACCGUAGAAGAAGCCCCGGCUAACUUCGUGCCAGCAGCCGCGGUAAUACGAAGGGGGCUAGCGUUGUUCGGAAUUACUGGGCGUAAAGCGCACGUAGGCGGAUAUUUAAGUCAGGGGUGAAAUCCCGGGGCUCA